UCUCCGCCUGGGGAGUACGGUCGCAAGACUGAAACUCAAAGGAAUUGACGGGGGCCCGCACAAGCGGUGGAGCAUGUGGUUUAAUUCGAAGCAACGCGAAGAACCUUACCAGGUCUUGACAUCCUCUGACAACUCUAGAGAUAGAGCGUUCCCCUUCGGAGGACAAAGUGACGGGUGGUGCAUGUUUGUCCUCCUCUCGUGUCGAGAUAUGUUGGUUUAACUCCCACAACGAGCGCCCCUUUUGAUCUUAUUUGCCAACAUUUAGUUGGGCACUCUAAGGAGACUGCCGGUGACAAACCGGAGGAAGGUGGGGAUGACGUCAAAUCAUCAUGCCCCUUAUGACCUGGGCUACACACGUGCUACAAUGGAUGGUACAGAGGGCUGCAAGACCGCGAGG
rnacentral:rRNA from 2 species